CACGUAGGGUGCGAGCGUUGUCCGGAAUUAUUGGGCGUAAAGAGCUCGUAGGCGGUCUGUCGCGUCGGCUGUGAAAACCCGGGGCUCAACCCCGGGCCUGCAGUCGAUACGGGCAGACUAGAGUGCGGUAGGGGAGACUGGAAUUCCUGGUGUAGCGGUGAAAAUGCGCAGAUAUCAGGAGGAACACCGGUGGCGAAGGCGGGUCUCUGGGCCGUAACUGACGCUGAGGAGCGAAAGCGUGGGGGAGCGAACAGG
rnacentral:rRNA from 1 species